rnacentral:rRNA from 1 species
AUACGAACUGUGCAAACGUUAUUCGGAAUCACUGGGCUUAAAGGGUGCGUAGGCGGCAGUGUAGGUCAGAUGUGAAAGCCCACGGCUCAACCGUGGAAUUGCGUUUGAAACCACACAGCUUGAGGGAGAUAGAGGAGAGCGGAACUGUUGGUGGAGCGGUGAAAUGCGUUGAUAUCAACAGGAACACCGGUGGCGAAAGCGGCUCUCUGGAUCUCUUCUGACGCUGAGGCACGAAAGCUAGGGGAGCGAACGGGAUUAGAUACCCUAGUAGUCC